rnacentral:lncRNA from 1 species
GACUAACUCUUGAUAGGUACAUCCUUCAAGCUUGGAAAAUUCUAUUUCUCCUUUAUCUUGAAGCAUUGAUGCUCGUCUCAAGAGGCUGUUAAAACACCAUCUCCUUGCACAUGAAUUUAGUGUUUGAUGACUUCUCUUCCCUGCUCAAGCAAAACAAAAGAAAAGAUCCUCAGGCAUUUUUUAGGAGUUUAUUAAAACAAUUUUGCAUUACGUCGACAUAACAAACAAAGUAACUGGAUGAUAGGAUGUUAUUGGAUUCUUUGUUUCAGAAACUGAGGUUCUGGUGCCUGGUGAGGGUGAGAGGUAUGCUUGGCUGGAAGAGAGGGAGAAGCCAGAUGACUUCGUUGUAUUUGGGGCAAAAUAUAGCGGCCCAAGAAUCAUGGAGCGCUAAUUUAUAUGAUGAUUUUGGCAGCUAAGAAAAAUAAGGUUCUCUGCAGUUUGAGUGUAUAUACACAGACUUGAAAAGAAAGGGAUGAAAGAAUAAAGUUCCUGGAGGGGUUGUGCACGCUCUUCGACAGAUCCUUUGUUUCCAAGGUAGACCUUAGUGGAAGGAUUGCUGUGGCACCGAAAAGCUUGUAUCUUAAGUUUAUCUCAGGUAUCAUCGCUUCAUAGGGAAUAAUUCAAGUUCUCGUCAUCUUAUUUUGACAAACGUGUUCUCUGUUUAGCAAAAUCAUGAAACAUGUAUUCCAGGCAUUAAUCAUAAUUUAAUUCAAGGGUUUCUUUCUCUUUUAUGUGGUGCUUUAUUCUUGUUCUGAAUUCUUAUCCACCCACAGCAAUAUGGGGUCCAUUAAGAUGAGACUGACAUCCUAGGAUUCUAGAGGAUUUUAUCAUUUCAGCAUCUACUUGCCUUUGUAUGUAUGUUCUGUAACUUUAUGUCCUCUGAACUCCAAAGGCUUCUUCUCAUCCUUU